rnacentral:rRNA from 1 species
GACGAACGCUGUUGGCGUGCUUAACACAUGCAAGUCGAACGGUAAGGCCCUUCGGGGUACACGAGUGGCGAACGGGUGAGUAACACGUGGGUGAUCUGCCCUGCACUUCGGGAUAAGCCUGGGAAACUGGGUCUAAUACCGGAUAGGACCACUGCCUGCAUGGGUGGUGGUGGAAAGCUUUUGCGGUGUGGGAUGGGCCCGCGGCCUAUCAGCUUGUUGGUGGGGUGAUGGCCUACCAAGGCGACGACGGGUAGCCGGCCUGAGAGGGUGACCGGCCACACUGGGACUGAGAUACGGCCCAGACUCCUACGGGAGGCAGCAGUGGGGAAUAUUGCACAAUGGGCGCAAGCCUGAUGCAGCGACGCCGCGUGAGGGAUGACGGCCUUCGGGUUGUAAACCUCUUUCAGCACCGACGAAGCGCAAGUGACGGUAGGUGCAGAAGAAGGACCGGCCAACUACGUGCCAGCCGCCGCGGUAACAC